UACAGAGACCUCAAGCGUUAUCCGGAAUCAUUGGGCGUAAAGCGUACCGAUAGGUGGUUUUACAAGUCAGAAGUGAAAUCUCUCAGCUCAACUGGGAGACUGUCUUUUGAAACUGUAAAACUAGAGGGGCAAAGAGGAAGCUGGAACGAACGGUGUAGUAGUGAAAUGCGUUGAUAUCGUUCGGAACACCAAUAGCGUAGGCAGGCUUCUGGGUGCCACCUGACACUGCUAGGACGAAAGCGUGGGUAGCGAAUGGG
rnacentral:rRNA from 1 species